rnacentral:tRNA from 1 species
GGAGUUGUGGUGUAGUGGCCUAACAUGCCCGCCUGUCACGCGGGAGACCGCGGGUUCGAAUCCCGUCAGCUCCG